rnacentral:tRNA from 1 species
GCUGGUGUAGCUCAGCUGGUAGAGCAGCUGAUUUGUAAUCAGCAGGUCGGGGGUUCGAAUCCGUCUGCCAGCUCCA